UUUUCUGUAGCAGGAGUUUGGCUGGUGAAUAAACCGAUCCUCCUAGAACGUCAGCUCGCUCCCUUGAGCAGGGUUUUCCCAAGAGCAUCAGUGGAAAAAAAGUUUGAGUAAUGCUUGAAGCCACAGGUGCAUUUUUCAUCUCACUAACAAGAGGAAUCUGCGCUCGCCUCAUAUAGCACGUAAUAACAUCACAACACACACCACACGAGGGCUUCACCUCAAAGCGCUCAUGGGAGAGGAACAUGUCGGCUUCAAGCUCUCUGCUGAGAUCCUCUCAUCAACCUCUGCUUUCCUGUCUGUUUCCUUUCUCUCUAAAUCCCUGCAGUCCGACUAUUUGCUCAUUCGAUUUCCCACUGUCACUCAAGCUGGCCUCCCAGAUGGUCCUGCAGGCAACAGGCCCGGAUCAUUCUGAAGCACUGUGCCUGUCAUAGAUGAGUGAUUCCUCGGGGGGUAAAUCUGGUGACGUUGUGAGUUUGAGCUCUCCCAACUGGGCUUUUAAGUUCACCAGUAAAGGACGUCAGAAGUACAAAUGGUCCUGUCUGCUUCAUAACAGUGUCCAUACAGGCUGAGAAGAUCAGAGAGAGAUGGAUGGAUGCAGACGCCAAGCAGG